rnacentral:rRNA from 1 species
UAGGGAAUCUUCGGCAAUGGGGGAAACCCUGACCGAGCAACGCCGCGUGAGUGAAGAAGGUUUUCGGAUCGUAAAGCUCUGUUGUUAAGGAAGAACGAGUGUGAGAAUGGAAAGUUCAUGCUGUGACGGUACUUAACCAGAAAGGGACGGCUAACUACGUGCCAGCAGCCGCGGUAAUACGUAGGUCCCGAGCGUUGUCCGGAUUUAUUGGGCGUAAAGCGAGCGCAGGCGGUUAGAAAAGUCUGAAGUGAAAGGCAGUGGCUCAACCAUUGUAGGCUUUGGAAACUGUUUAACUUGAGUGCAGAAGGGGAGAGUGGAAUUCCAUGUGUAGCGGUGAAAUGCGUAGAUAUAUGGAGGAACACCUGUGGCGAAAGCGGCUCUCUGGUCUGUAACUGACGCUGAGGCUCGAAAGCGUGGGGAGCGAACAGG